rnacentral:tRNA from 1 species
GCGGGCGUAACUCAGGGGUAGAGUGCGAGCUUCCCAAGCUCGAAGUCGCGGGUUCAAAUCCCGUCGCCCGCUCCA